AGAGUUUCUUGCACCAGGCACCAAUUCGUGAUUAUCCUCAGCUUCCUGCUCCUGCAAUGCACUUCCUGGCGACAGAACCAACUUGUGCAUAAGAACACUUGCCAUGACCUGGCGGCAGCUCAGGAAGAAGGCACGCCGUGCUCUGAAGAACGUUGAUGAGGAGUAAAGAGAGGGCAGCGAGAAGUCUUCAUCCGGCUCAACUGGCCUACGAUGAGUCCAGCCCAAGUGGCAUGUAUGUGUGCGUGUGGUCGAGCGUGGCCUGUAUAAAGGCAGAAGCCUAACUCUGAAACAUCAACGAUGAACUAAUGCUCUGAACUGAAUAUCUAAACCGUGUUCUUCCCCAUGGUUCCUCCUAUGCUGCUUCCAAAUCCCCAAAUCCCCUUGCUAAUCCUACCAAAUCCUCUUCUCGUUGAGCAAGUUCAUCACAAUUGGUAUCCAAAGCCACUUAACCCCAAUUUUUUCCCCAAAUAGUUUGAGUUCUUCAUCCUACCACCCGUGCGCAAGCCGAUGAAGGUUGAAAUUCAGAUGGCGAAUUCGCUAAAGGAUCUCGCGAAGAAGUUCGAGGGGUUCAAUUUGGUGAUGCAGCAGAUCCUUGACAAGGUCAUUGGACUUGAGUCAUGGAAGACGACGGCGGACAAAUCGAUGGGUACGUUGCUAUCCAAGGCGGACGACACGGCGUCAUGCCUGCACCGACUUGAGACCGCACCACCACCACCACAGCAGCCACUACUGCAACCACCGCUACCGCCACCAUCGUGGGUGAAUCCCAUCGACCUCAACCUUGCUCCACCAUCGGCGUCACGCCCACCUGCGGCGACCUUGGAGCGGCCCAGCGGGCACCGCAUCGAUAACAGCCACCGGGAUGUUGGCGGUGGGAUCCUUGGAUCUCCCCCGCCACGUCCAGUCACGGGUAUGUCACACACUCUCCCUCCUCGACCACCCGAUCCUUCUUGCGAUGCUAGACAGAGUCCUAUUCAUUUUGCUCAUGUACCCAAACUAGAAUUCCCCAAGUUUAAUGGUGAGAAUCCCAGGUUCUGGAAGGAUAGGUGCGAGCUAUACUUUGAUGUGUGCAGUGUUAGUGAUGCCUUGAAACCCCACUUUGUUGCUCUCAAUUUUGAUGGGCCAACAGCUGCUUGGCUUCAAACAUUCAAGGUCAGAGGCCGUGUUCAGAGUUAGGAGGCUCUCCACACUGUGGUUUGUGAUCGGUUCGAUCACGACCAGUACCAGCUUCAAAGGAAACAUUUAGAUAACCUGAAACAAAUUGGGUCGGUAGAAGAAUACCAUGCAAAAUUUGAGUAGUUAGCCCAUAACAUUCUGCUAUACAAUAGUGCUUAUGAUGAUGUCUAUUCUGUUACUCGUUUCCUUGGUGGUCUUAAAGAAGAAAUUAGAGCCCCGAUUGCUUUACAUCGACCCAAAAACUUGGAUACUGCUAGUGCCUUGGCAUUAUUGCAGGAAGAAGAAGUGGAAAUGUCUCGUCAGAAGCACUAAUUCAAAACUAAGAAUAAGGAGUUUGGCAAAUCUGGUAGCAGGGGUUUCACUACCAGUGACAAAGCCAAAUCUCCUUACAAGAAAGAAGAUGUGAAGAAAGGAGAUAGAGCACCAACCCAAGAAAAGUGGGCAGCGAUCAAGGCUUCCAGAAAGGCUAAUGACUUGUGCUAUACCUGUGGAGAGAAAUGGACUGGGCGAAAUCACAAAUGCCCUGAUCAGGUUCCCAUUCAUAUGAUUCAAGAGCUUAUGGAAAUGUUUCAGUUGGAUGACUGCUCGGAUGGUGAGGAGGAUAGCUCUAACCAAACUGAUGAAGUUAUCAUGACUGUGAAAGAAGAUCAACCUGAUCAGGCAAAGCAAAAAAGAGAAGAAAAAUUUGAUUUAAAGGCUUCAUUGGCAAGCAAGAAAUUCUUAUUUUGCUCGAUUCAGGAAGCGUGGGAACAUUUGUUAGUGACAAGCUGGUCUCCUCUCUUGCACUGCAAAGCAAAUCUUGUGAACAACUCCAGUUCAUCACUGCCGAUGGUAGUCCAAUGAACUCUGACAAGUUCAUUCGAAACAUGCAGUUGUUCAUUCAGGGGCAUACAUUCUCUUAUGAUGCCAGAGUACUACCACUCAAGUGUUUUGACAUGAUCAUCGGUGCAAAUUGGUUGAAGGACCACAACCCCACUUGGACCCAUUGGAAGAAGAAAAUCAUGAGGUUUCCUCAUUCAGCAGACAAAUUCAGUUGAAGGGAAUCAGGAACACAAAGCUGCCUUGCACUAACAUUAUCCCUAGAAAGCUUAAGGGACUGUUAAGAAGAAAAGUAGUAACAAAUUGUGUCCUAGUGAAUGCAAUGUGCCCAUCAGCUACUCCAUAAGUUACAACGACUGCAGUUGCCCAACAAUCUGCUAUUGCACCAGCGGAGCCCCUAUUCACUCUCUCUGACAAUACAAUGGUUCCUCCUCCUGUUCAAGAUCUAUUGAUUAAAUAUGAGUUCUUAUUCAAGGAGCCUACGGAUCUACCUCCAACAAGAGAUUGUGAUCAUUCUAUACCUUUUCUGCCGGGUGCUCAGCCAGUAAAUGUUAGACCUUACAGAUACUCCCCUCAACAGAAAAAUGAAAUUGAACAACAGAUUAGUUCAAUGUUGAAAUCUGGAGUAAUAUCUCAUAGUAGUAGCCUUUUUGCCUCACCUAUGCUUUUGGUGAAAAAGAAGGAUGGUUCUUGGAGAUUCUGUAUUGACUAUAGACACCUCAAUGCUCUCACAGUGAAGAAUAAACAUCCCCUACCAGUUUUGGAUGAGCUUCUAGAUGAACUAUCUGGAGCCAAGUGGUUUACAAAAUUGACUUCAGAUCGGGUUAUCAUCAAAUCGGGGUGUCCCCAGGGGAAGAGUUCAAAAUGGCAUUUAAAACACAUAGUGGUGCAUAUGAAUUCAGAGUAAUGCCUUUUGGGCUUACCAAUGCUCCUGCAACUUUUCAAGGUGAUAUGAAUAAAAUUUUUGCCCCUCUACUCAGGAAACAUGUUCUGGUUUUCAUGGAUGACAUAUUAGUGUAUAGUUCAUCUCUAGAAGAGCAUGUCCAACACCUAGACCAAGUUCUGCAAAUUAUUCAAGAACAUCAAUUUUGCAUUAAGAAAUCAAAGUGUGUGUUUACUCAACAACAACUUGAAUAUUUAGGCCAUCUGAUUUCUGCUGAUGGUGUAUCAACUGAACCAUCAAAGAUACAAGCUGUCACCUAUUGGCCAGUUCCCAAAUCAAUCAAAUAACUAAAGAGGAUUCUUGGGGUUAACAGGUUAUUACAGAUGAUUCAUUAAGCACUACAACAUGUCAAGUAAACCUCUAACCAACAUGUUGAAGAAAGGGGUUCAUUUUCGGUGGACCAGUUUGGCUCAAAAUGCUUUUGAACUUCUGAAGCAAGCCUUAGUUCAAGCUCUGGUGUUGGCCAUUCCAAACUUCAACAAGCAGUUCAUAGUUGAAAUAGGUGCAAGUCAAUUAGGAAUUGGAGCUGUUGUAAUGCAAGAUUGCCACCCAAUUUCUUAUUUGAGCCAAACACUAUGUGAUAAAAACAAAGGUUCUCCACUUAUAAAAAAAGAUGCAUGGCAGUCCUACUAGCUGUUGAGAAAUGGAGAUCGUACCUUCUUGGAUCAUACCUUCUUGGAUAGAAAUUUCUCAUUGGAACUGAUUAUAGAAGUCUACGAUUUCUGACUGAACAAAGGGCCACCACUAAGUUAUAGAAAAAGACACUUCUCAAGCUUAUGGACUUGAACUUCAAAAUACAGUACAAGAAGGGGUCUUCCAAUGCAGCAACUGAUGCUCUCUAUAGGUGCCCAAAUCAUUCUAUCUUACAUGCUGUAUUUGUGAGUAACCCUUCUUGGAUGCAUAAUUUGCAGGAAGGCUAUUUGGAUUAUCCUGAAGACAAACAGUUGCUCACUGAGCUUGCUAUUAUGUCACCCAAUGAAAAAGUGUUUUCUCUUCAAAAUGGCUUAAUCAGAUGCAAGGGUAGAGUCUGGAUCGACAACAAUAAGUUGCACAGACUCACAUGCUGCAGUCCCUUCAUAGUAGUGGUAUUGGGGGUCACUCAGGGAUUUAUGCCACCUACCACAAAAUUAAAUAUAUGUUUGCUUGGCCCAAAUUGAAAGCUGCAGUUUCUUCCUUUGUGCAAGCUUGCCAAGUCUGUCAACAAGCUAAAGUUGAGUAUGUUAAGCUUCCAAGGCUUCUACAGCCUCUGCCAAUUCCAGAACAAGCUUGGGCCACAAGAUCGAGUGUUCACAAGCAAUGUUUGGCAGGAACUGUUCAAGCUUACUGAUACCCAACUGUUGAUGACCUCAUCAUACCGCCCACAGACUGACGGCCAAAUUGAACGCUUGAAUCAAUGCCUGGAAGCAUUCCUUCGCUGUACAAUGCAUUCCUGUCCACGACAAUGGAGUAAGUGGCUUGCUCUUGCGGAAUAUUGGUAUAACACAUCCUACCAAACUACCAUGGGUCAUACUCAUUUUGAAGUCCUUUAUGGUCAGACACCACACCAUUUUGGCAUUACCAAUCUGCAAGAAUGUACAGUUCUAGACUUGGAGAGUUGGCUUAAAGAAAGGAACCUGUUAACACAAUUAAUUCAACAACAACUUCUGAGAGCACAACAGAGGAUGAAGGCUCUGGCUGACUCUCAGAGAUCUGAAAGGGAAUUUCAAGAAGGUGACAUGGUUUAUCUAAAGCUCCAACCGCACCUACAAUCAUCAGUAGCUCCUUGAGGUAACAACAAGCUGUCCUUCAGGUUUUGUUCCUUAAAAAGUGCUCAAGUGAGUUGGUGCUGUUGCUUACAAACUUGAAUUGCCACCACAAGCUCAAAUCCAUCCAGUGAUUCAUGUAGCACAAUUGAAGAAGCAUGUACCAACUAUGACAGAGGUGAGCCUCUGUUUGCACUGACCCUGAACAACCUUUGCUGCCGAUGGCCAUUUUAGACCGCAAGUUCGUGCCCAAAGCUGGAGCAACAACAGCACGCAUUCGCGUGUAGUGGGGUGACCUCCCCGUGCACAUGUCCACUUGGGAAGACGAAGCUGAUUUGAAGAUAUGCUUCCCAACAGUAGUAGCUUGGGGGCAAACUGCUUUGCAAGGGGGCGGCAAUGUCAUGACCCGGUGGUAGCUCAAGAAGAAGGCACACUGUGCUCUGAAGAACGCUGAUGAGGAGUAAAGAGAGGGGCAGUGAGAAGUCUUCAUCCGGCCCAAGUGGCCUGUAUGUGUGCGUGUGGCCGAGCGUUGCCUGUAUAAAGGUAGAAGCCUAACUCUGAAACAUCAUCCAUGAACAAAUGCUUUGAACUGAAUAUCUGAACCCUCUUCUUUCUCA